UACGUAGGGGCAAGCGUUGUCCGGAAUCAUUGGGCGUAAAGAGCGUGUAGGCGGCCAGAAAAGUCCGCUGUGAAAACUCGAGGCUCAACUUCGAGCUGUCGGUGGAAACUUUCUGGCUAGAGUCCGGAAGAGGAGAAUGGAAUUCCUGGUGUAGCGGUGAAAUGCGCAGAUAUCAGGAAGAACACCCGUGGCGAAGGCGGUUCUCUGGGACGGUACUGACGCUGAGACGCGAAGCGUGGGGAGCGAACAGG
rnacentral:rRNA from 1 species